rnacentral:lncRNA from 10 species
UACUGAGCAGCAUGGUUCCAAAGGACAGCAAAAGCACUUUACUGCCUUAGAAGGAGGGGAGGCUUUGCCAGGCCUAUGAAACCCUCAUCUGGAUCUGGCCUCCAGGGCAGCCUCCUGCCUGCCUCUCUGGUGAGGCUCAGCUUCUGCUCUGCCUCACCAGCUCCCCUCCAGUUCCCCUCACUCUGAGGGUGCAGGGAGCAGGGUCCCACGGGAGCAUUGGUGUGAGAGGGAGCUCCCAGCACCGAGGGAGAAGCAGGACUCACUGACCAAACCAUGUGUUUGUGCUGGAAGGGCCUCACUGCAAACAUGCUCAUCUUAUGGAAGAAGAAAGGAGGUUCAGAGAGGGAAAGGCUUGCCUGAGGUCACACGCCCGCUGAAUAUGGACUCCAACGGUGCCCUAGGGGAUGGUGGAGCCACCAGAUGGAAGGAGCCUGGUGAUCCCGAGAAGGAGAGAUGCCUCGCUGACCUGAACAUCUUUCCAGAACUGUUAAGUGAGUUAGAAAUGAACUUCUACUAUACAAAGCCGCUGAAAUUUGGGCAUCUGUUACUUUAGUUGGCCUACUGAAGCUUCUCUCCUCUCCUCACUUACCUCUCCAGAUGCAAUGGCAGGUCUUUCGGGGUGGGGGUGGGGCACUGAUCAGAACUGCCUGGAAGCUCAAGUACCCACUAUACCUAGGCUCAGGCAGGCCAGAGAU